rnacentral:rRNA from 1 species
UACGUAGGGGGCAAGCGUUGUCCGGAAUCAUUGGGCGUAAAGCGCGUGUAGGCGGCUCGGUAAGUCUGCUGUGAAAGUCCAGGGCUCAACCCUGGGAUGCCGGUGGAUACUGUCGGGCUUGAGUACGGAAGAGGCGAGUGGAAUUCCUGGUGUAGCGGUGAAAUGCGCAGAUAUCAAGGAGGAACACCAAUGGCGAAGGCAGCUCGCUGGGACGUACUGACGCUGAGGACGCGAAAGCGUGGGGAGCAAACAGG